rnacentral:rRNA from 1 species
ACUCCUACGGGAGGCAGCAGUAGGGAAUCUUCCACAAUGGGCGCAAGCCUGAUGGAGCAACACCGCGUGAGUGAAGAAGGGUUUCGGCUCGUAAAGCUCUGUUGUUAAAGAAGAACACGUAUGAGAGUAACUGUUCAUACGUUGACGGUAUUUAACCAGAAAGUCACGGCUAACUACGUGCCAGCAGCCGCGGUAAUACGUAGGUGGCAAGCGUUAUCCGGAUUUAUUGGGCGUAAAGAGAGUGCAGGCGGUUUUCUAAGUCUGAUGUGAAAGCCUUCGGCUUAACCGGAGAAGUGCAUCGGAAACUGGAUAACUUGAGUGCAGAAGAGGGUAGUGGAACUCCAUGUGUAGCGGUGGAAUGCGUAGAUAUAUGGAAGAACACCAGUGGCGAAGGCGGCUACCUGGUCUGCAACUGACGCUGAGGCUCGAAAGCAUGGGUAGCGAACAGGAUUAGAUACCCUGGUAGCUCGAUG